rnacentral:rRNA from 1 species
AUGGCGUGGGAGGGGGGCGGGGGGCGUUACGGAUUCUGGGCGUAANGCGCACGCAGGCGGUCUGUCAAGUCCGAUGUGAAAGCCCCGAGCUUAACUUGGGAAUUGCAUCUGAAACUGGUUGGCUAGAGUCUUGUAGAGGGGGGUAGAAUUCCAUGUGUAGCGGUGAAAUGCGUAGAGAUGUGGAGGAAUACCGGUGGCGAAGGCGGCCCCCUGGACAAAGACUGACGCUCAGGUGCGAAAGCGUGGGGAGCAAACAGGAUUAGAUACCCUGGUAGUCCACGCUGUAAACGAUGUCGAUUUAGAGGUUGUGGUCNUUGNAACCGUGGCUUCUGGAGCUAACGCGUUAAAUCGACCGCCUGGGGAGUACGGCCGCAAGGUUAAAACUCAAAUGAAUUGACGGGGGCCCGCACAAGCGGUGGAGCAUGUGGUUUAAUUCGACAACGCGGGGGCAACCUUAGGUCUUGACAUCCACAGAACUUUCCGAGAUGCNNAUUGGUGCCUUCNNGUGAACUGUGAGACCGGUGCUGCAUGGCUGUCGUCCGCUCCUGUUGUAAAAAAGUUGGGUUACGGCCCGCACCAACCGGAACCCUUAUCCCUGUUUUUGCCCCCCCGUUCUUCCCGGCAAAUCAAACGAAACUGGCCCGUG